GUUGAACGCUGGCGGCAGGCUUAACACAUGCAAGUCGAGCGGAGAUGAGGUGCUUGCACCUUAUCUUAGCGGCGGACGGGUGAGUAAUGCGUAGGAAUCUGCCUAUUAGAGGGGGACAACAUUCCGAAAGGAAUGCUAAUACCGCAUACGUCCUACGGGAGAAAGCAGGGGAUCUUCGGACCUUGCGCUAAUAGAUGAGCCUAAGUCGGAUUAGCUAGUUGGUGGGGUAAAGGCCUACCAAGGCGACGAUCUGUAGCGGGUCUGAGAGGAUGAUCCGCCACACUGGGACUGAGACACGGCCCAGACUCCUACGGGAGGCAGCAGUGGGGAAUAUUGGACAAUGGGGGGAACCCUGAUCCAGCCAUGCCGCGUGUGUGAAGAAGGCCUUAUGGUUGUAAAGUACUUUAAGCGAGGAGGAGGCUACUGAGACUAAUACUCUUGGAUAGUGGACGUUACUCGCAGAAUAAGCACCGGCUAACUCUGUGCCAGCCGCCGCCGUAAAAC
rnacentral:rRNA from 1 species